AUGGAGGAUGUCGUUGACAAGUUUCUGGUGCGUGUCGAUGACAGCUCUGAUCCUGCCGCCAACUCGAACAAGAUCAAACGGCUCACCAAGAAGAUGGCCGGCUUGUUCACUAAGGGGAAGACUCACCAUGAGAUCGCGAACGCGAUCAAGGACAUCAAUAAGCAAGUCCAAGAGGUUGCUAGCAGGCGUGUACGGUACAAUGUCGACAAUAUUGUCACUAUGCCUGCAGGGAUGACUCCCAUCGACCCUCGCCUUCGGGCUCUGUACACCGAAGUGACAGAGCUUGUUGGCAUUGCUGGGAAAAGGGAUCAAGAGCUAAUGAAAUUGCUAUCAGAAGGAGACGACGAGUCCAAGAAAAAAUUGAAGAUUGUCUCCGUUGUCGGAUUUGGAGGAUUAGGCAAGACCACUCUUGUCAAAACAGUCUAUGACAAGAUAAAAGGAGAAUUUGGUUGCCGAGCUUUUGUUUCUGUCGGUCGAAAUGCUAGCGCAAAAAAGAUUUUGAUGGAUAUCCUUCUUGCUCUUGACAUGUACGAAAGCCAUUUCGCCAUAUUGGGUGAAACACAACUCAUCGACAAACUCCGGGAGCGUCUCGAGAACAAGAGGUACCUCAUUGUAAUUGAUGAUAUAUGGGAUGAAAAAUUGUGGACAAUUAUCAAUUGGGCCUUCUCUAAAAGCAACAAUUUUGGCAGUCGGCUAAUGACGACAACUCGUAUAUUCAGUGUAUCUAAAUUAUGCUGCUCAUCUACUAAUGAUUCAGUCUAUCAAAUGGAACCUCUUAGUGAUGAUGAUUCCAAAAGGCUCUUCUGUAAAAGAAUAUUUUCUCAAGAGAGUGGAUGUCCUCGUGAAUUAGAAGAAGUGUCCACGCGCAUAUUAAAGAAAUGUGGUGGAGUGCCAUUAGCCAUAAUUACUAUAGCUAGUCUUUUGGCUAAUGAUCAACAUCUAAAACGAGAGGAUGAGUGGCAUGUUUUGCUAGAGUCUAUUGGCCGUGGACUUGCCGAAGACCAUGUUGUUGAGGAGAUGAGGAGGAUACUAUCAUUUAGCUAUUAUGACUUGCCUUCUCAUUUAAGAACAUGUUUGUUAUAUCUAAGCAUGUUUCCAGAAGAUCAUGAGAUUAUGAAAGAUCAAUUGAUAUGGAUGUGGAUUGCUGAAAGUUUUGUCCAAUGUGAGAAAUUAAAAACUAGUCUCUUUGAGAUCGGAGAGACUUACUUCAAUGAGUUGGUGAACAGAAGCUUGAUCCAGCCGGUAUACAAUUUUCGUGGCUUUGUAUAUGCUUGUCGUGUACACGAUAGUGUGCUUGAUCUAAUUUGUUCAUUAUCAAGCGAAGAUAAUUUUGUUACCAUAUUGAAUGGUACCGAUGAAAGCAUUUCUUCUCGGAGAAAUGUGCGCAGGUUGUCCCUCCAAAAUACAAUCAAAGAAGAACAUCGAACAAUGCCUCUUAUUUCUGGGAGUAUAUUACAAGUGAGGUCCAUUGCCACAUUUAAAUCUGCUAUUGGUCUAUUGCCGCCUUUGUCGAGCUUCGCUGUUUUAUGUGUACUGGAUUUGACUGGAUGUAAUGUUGGUGAUCAUAACCAUCUAAACCUUCAAGAGUUGGGGACUUUAUUUCACCUGAGGUACCUAGGUCUAGCCGAUAUAGAAAUUUCUGAGGCCCCAGAAGUUGGAAAGUUACAGUUUUUACAGGUGCUGGAUUUGAGUGGAAAUUAUGAUAUAAAAGAACUUCCGUCGAGUGUUACCAAACUAAGAAGAUUGAUGUGCCUACUAACCGAGCCUCUCUGGAAUCUUCCAGAUGGGCUAGGAAAGCUGGCAUCAAUGGAAGUGCUGGGUGAAAUCUGUGGUGACUCUCUAUGCACUGUGAAAGCAUUGGGCAACAUGAAAACAUUGAGGAAGCUCCAAAUUAAAUUUAAUGACCUGAGCAUGGAGUUAGAGGAAGCGUUUAUGGAGUCACUAGGAGUUUCCAACAUCCAAAGUCUAGAAAUUGAUGCCAGUGGUGCUUCCAUGGAUCUCUUGGGGGAACGUUGGGUGCCCCCUAGCAGUCUCCGGGAAUUUAUCGCAGACAGACAUGGCAUAUUCUCCACGCUGCCUGCAUGGAUAAGGAGAAAUCCCUCACAUCUGUCGCAACUAUACGAGUUGCACAUAUGGGUCAAGGAAGUGGGGCAGGAGGAUCUGGAAUUCCUUGGAAGGUUAUCGGCUCUUCACCGUCUCACAUUACGAACUACCCGCCAAAGGAAGCUAUUCUUCAGUGCUGAUGGGUUCCGUUGUCUGACAACAAUCGUGUUGGUUUGUCGGUCGCCGGGCCAAAUCGUGUUCCUGCCAGGAGCUUUGCCCAAGGCUGAAACUGUCAAGUUUGAAAUCGGUUUGCGGGUCGCAAAAGAGGAAGCAGCUGGUAACGGUGGUGAUUGGUUUGACCUGGGCAUGGGACACUUGAUGUCCCUUCAGAAGGUUCAUGUCCGAUUCUACACCUCCGGGGUGAUGGUCGGCGAGGUCAAGCAAGCGCGGGCUGCGCUGGAGAACACACUCCAUGCCCACCCUAACCGUCCCGUCUUUGGCGUCUUCUUCAUCCCGAACAUAGUACACGAAGGCACAAGUGACGACGACACCUUCGUCUAG
rnacentral:rRNA from 1 species